rnacentral:misc_RNA from 1 species
GAUGAAGAACGUAGCGAAAUGCGAUAAGUAAUGUGAAUUGCAGAUUUCAGUGAAUCAUCGAAUCUUUGAACGCACCUUGCGCCUUGUGGUAUUCCACAAGGCAUGCCCGUUUGAGUAUCAUUAAAUCAUCAACUCUAAAACCUUUGUGGUUUUUUUAGAGCUUGGUCUUGAGGGUUUUGCAGGCUUUUUUUUCGUGUCUGCUCCCUUUAAAUGCAUUAGCGAGACUUCCCUAUGCUGAACCGUCUCUUUGACGUGAUAAUUAUCUGCGUCGAAUUUUGGUUCUCGUUGGGCUUGCUUCUAAUCGUCUGUUAAAGACAAAACGGAUUUGGGUGCAUAUAUGCGCCUUUUUCCAAAACCUUUUUUGAUCUCAAAUCGGGUAGGACUACCCGCUGAACUUAAGCAUAUCAAUAAGCGGAGGA